UUGACCUCAAAUCAGGUAGGAAUACCCGCUGAACUUAAGCAUAUCAAU
rnacentral:rRNA from 2 species